UAGUCAAAGACAUUUGAGUCUUGAAUUUUGAAUUAAAAAGAAGAUCCAAAGACUAGUUUGUAUUUCCCUUCAUUGAACAAGUUCCACCAAAGGUCCCAAAUUGAAAAUUGACCAAGACUUGAACUUUUGAAAUUAACAACUUGAUAAAACCAAACCACUACAUGGCUUCCACAUCACGUUUUACUGUUCACACGACAAAAUUUUAAGCUCAAAUUUUGAUCUUUUAGUUUCAUUGUGUUAUCUCUUUAGUUUCAUUUGUUGAUUCCAUUACUAACGUACGAGCUAGUACUAGAUUGUAAGUUAGUUUUGAAACCGUUCUUCGUGUUAACUUUCCUUUGUGUGUCUUAAUCCUUUGAGUCAUUGUAACGUCCUUGUGUUUUUUUCCUUACUCUUUGGAGUCGCUUUCAACGUUGGAUUCACCUCUCAACACCUCUCGGAGUACAAGCAAGCCUUCAAUACUUGUGAGAUUGAGUGUGAGGGAUACGAGAGACCCGAAAUAAAAGAGAGAGUGAGGAUGUUUUGUAUAACUAACAUGUUUUCUAUUUUGUAGGUAGCUUCUUUGCCACAAUGGAUACCAUUUUGGCCCACCUUGAUGCUAUUGCCCGAGAAAUAGCUAAGGCGAAUGCGGGUCUUGACAAAUUGGGCUCGGAUAUUUCUACUCUACUUGAGAGGUUGGAUCUAGUGGAGAGUCGAAGAAAUUCUUAUGAUUCUACUUCCGAAGCUUUACCUCCAGCAAUCAAUCCUCCAAGACCACCAGCAAAUGACAUAGACAUAAGUCAAGCCACCAAAUGUCCUCUAACCUGAGACCUACAUAGGUCGAUCCCUCCUCCAUUCGAUCAAGUCCAACAAAAAGGACUCGGAAGCCAAAUCUCUCCCAUCCAAGCUCCACAACCGAAGCUCCACUUUACCAAAUCAACCCUCUCAACCAAAACUCCACUUCACCAAAGCCGACAUGUCCAUGUAGAGGAGAAUGGUAGAAAGGAACUCAAAGGAUAUGGAGUCUACGAAGAUGCUUGUAUGAUGGUAGGAGACUUGUUUCUGAUGAGAUUGAAGACAAGGCUCAAGAUGGAAAGGAAGCCGAGAUUCAAAAUGAAGAUGUUGGCCAAGACUUAUGUUAAUGUUUUGCUGGCUGUUUUGAGUGGUUUAUUUAAAGUGGCCGAUUGAACGAGGUGAAGCCGUGAAUUUGUGGGCAAAUUCCUCUCAAGAUGGAGAGGAUGAUACGGGAAUAAUCACGGAUAUGGACUUAUGGAAGUGCAUUUUAGGUCCGAGACUUGGGGUGUGCAAUUGAAAUGCAAAAGGGAACCUAAGUGCACUAAAAAUCAGCCAACAUAUUACACUUGAUGGGCACCUAAGUCUCUAAGGGGCCUUUUAGUCUUUUUGUAUUUUAUUUGUAACAACAACAACAACAACAAACCCAG
rnacentral:lncRNA from 1 species